rnacentral:lncRNA from 1 species
UGAUGGGGAACCUCGAUUAGAGGAAUUGGGAAGGAAAUAGAGGGAGAUUUGGGAGAGAAUUGAGGUGAGAUAGAGAGGAAGAAGAUGGGAGGGACAGGAGAAGGGGGAAGAAGCUUGGGGAAGAAUUCUUUGUAUUAAUAUUUUCAUAACCUCUUACUUACAUUCUCUGGCUUUUAUAGCCUCUUACUACUUGCAUUAAU